rnacentral:rRNA from 1 species
ACUACGUGCCAGCAGCCGCGGUAAUACGUAGGUCCCGAGCGUUGUCCGGAUUUAUUGGGCGUAAAGCGAGCGCAGGCGGUUUGAUAAGUCUGAAGUAAAAGGCUGUGGCUUAACCAUAGUACGCUUUGGAAACUGUCAAACUUGAGUGCAGAAGGGGAGAGUGGAAUUCCAUGUGUAGCGGUGAAAUGCGUAGAUAUAUGGAG